GGUGGUUCCUAUCGGUACCAGUGGGACAAAGUAUGCGAAGCCUAAAGCUAAGGGAUCAGUUUAUUAUUACUAAGGAAUUUUAUAAUAGAUUAUUUAGUCAUCUUCUUAGGCAAUCACUCAAGAUCGAAGACUUCCCCUCCGGUUCUCUGGGUUCUCAGGUGGCUGAUGAGGAAGGUCCCUGGAGGCUGCAUGGACAAUACUCUCGCUGCUGAAUGAUGAGGGCAGAUUUCAUCUUUACAAAGUGAGUGUAAUCCUGGAGCUCAUCUUCUGACAAAUGCUUGACCAGAAUAUCAUGGACAACACGUUCCCUGCGAUCCACAUGUUCCUUCAACUCUUUGGCCUCUUCAAGCUGUGCUGGCACAGUUUGCACUGAUGUCUUCCAAAAGGCUCUUCUGGGCUUCAUGCAACACACUGAGUUUUCUACUGAGACUGCAGAUCAAUUGUUGCUGUGGAAAUCAAGAAGAAAAAGUAUGGAGUAG